rnacentral:sRNA from 1 species
AUCAAAAUUACAUUUUUGCAUCAGCAUGUACCUUUAAUGCAUUGCCAUUUGUAAGAUAUGUUUAUUUGUAUGUGUAAGUAAAACCACCCCCCCUUCUUUCAUCUUUUUGAUUGAAAAGGUGGCUGUUGAGAUAUAUUUUCAAUACACAUAAAUGAUGUGCUUCACACAUGUACAGAUAUGUUCCAUACAUGUAUAUGUAAAUAUGUUUGAAGAUAUUUCAGAGAGAAGUCUUAUUUUUUAUUUUAGGAAAAGUAUAAAAUUCAAAGUAAGUUUAUCAUAUGUAAAUUAUUUAUUGCAUUCAAAAAUUUAUACAACUGCUGGUCAAUAUACUGACUACAGUACGUUGGAUUGCGUCCCUUUGGUUAUUACUGUGUAUGGCUGUGUUACUGCUUAUUUGUGAUAAAAUGCUAAUGGAUGUUCUAUACUUAAGAUGUUUUGAUAUAAAUCUGUUUUUUGUUUUUAUUACAAUUUGUUCUACUAGAGUAAAGGAUUAGAGAAUUGACUUAAAGUAAGGGCACACAAGAAUGUUCUUAUAAAUGCGCAUAUAUUGAAUAAAAAUAUCUAUUGUUG